GGUGAGUAACACGUGGAUAACCUACCUAUAAGACUGGGAUAACUUCGGGAAACCGGAGCUAAUACCGGAUAAUAUUUUGAACCGCAUGGUUCAAAAGUGAAAGACGGUCUUGCUGUCACUUAUAGAUGGAUCCGCGCUGCAUUAGCUAGUUGGUAAGGUAACGGCUUACCAAGGCAGCGAUGCAUAGCCGACCUGAGAGGGUGAUCGGCCACACUGGAACUGAGACACGGUCCAG
rnacentral:rRNA from 1 species